UAAACUUAAAAGCUUUUGCACAGCAAAGAAAACCAUCAACAAAAUGAAAAGGCAACCUACAGAACAGGAGAAAAUAUUUGCAAAUGAUAUGACUGAUAAAGGAUUAAUAUACAACAUAUAUGAACAGCUCAUACAACUUAAUAUCAAAAAAAUAAACAAUCAAAACAUGGGCAGAAGACCUGAAAAGACAUUUUUUCCAAAGAAGACAUACAUGUGGCCAACAGACACAUGAAAAGAUGCUCAUCAUCACUAAUCAUCAGAGGAAUGCAAAUCAAAACCACAAUAAGAUGUCAUCUCACACCUGUCAAAAUGACUAUCAUCAAAAAGUCUACAAAUAACAAAUGUCAGCAAGGAUGUGGAGAAAUCCCACUGUUGGUGGGAUUGCAAAUUGGUGCAGCCACUAUGGAAAACAGUAUGAAGUUUCCUCAGAAAACUAAAAAUGGAACUACCAUAUGAUCCAGCUAUUCCACUGCUGGGUAUAUAUCUGAAGAAAAUGAAAAAAAUAAUUCAAAAAGAUACUUGCAUCCCAAUGUUCACAGCAGCAUUAUUUACAAUAGCCAAGCUAUGGAAGCAACCUAAGUGCCCAUCAACGGAUGGAUAAAGAAGAUGUGUGUGUGUGUGUGUGUGUGUAUACAUAUAUGUGUGUGUAUACAUACAUAUAUGUGUAUAUAUACACAUAUAUAAUGGAAUAUCACUUGGCCAUAAAAAAUAAUGAAAUUCUGCCAUUUGCUACAAUGUGGAUGGACCUAAAGAGUAUCAUGCUUAGUGAAGUAAGUCAGACCAGAAAGACAAAUACUCUGUUAUCACUUAUAUGUGGAAUCUAAAAAAUAAAGCAAAGAAAUGUAUAUAACAGAAACAGAUUCACAGAUACAGAGAACAAACCAGUGAUUCCCCAUGGGGAGAAGGAAGUGGGGAGGGGCGAGAUAGGGUUAUAGGAUUAAGAGACACAAACUACUUUAUAAAAUAAGCAACAGGGAUAUAUAGUACAGGGAAAUACAGCCAUUAUUUUGUAACAAUUUUAAAUUGAGUAAAAUCUAUAAACACAUUGAAUCACUAUGUCAUACACCUAAAAAUAAUAUAAUAUUGUAAAUCAACUAUACCUCCAUUUUUUUAAAAAAGAUAGAUAGGGCAGCCGUUAGCACCAUCAUUUUACAGAUGAAGAAACCGAAUCCUCAACAGGUUAAAUGAUUGCCUGAGGACAUAAGCUGAUAAAUGGUGGAUUUAAAAUGGGGACACAAAGCUAACCUUUCAGAUACGAUUUCUGAUUCGUAAGCACUUUGCAAUGUAUUAUUUAUAAAUUAAAAAACACCACCACAAACCUAGCUCAUAGUAUAGAGGACAGACUGGUAGUUGCCAGAGGCGGGGGUGGGGGUGGGGGUGGGCAAAACGGGUGAAGGGGGUCAAAAGAUACAAACUUCCAGUUAUCAAGUCCUGGGGAUGUCAUGUACAACAUGGUGACUACAGUUAUUAAUACUGUAUUGCAUACCUGAAAGUUGCUAAGAGAGUAGAUCGUAAAAGUUCUCAUUAUGAGAAAGAAAAAAUUUUAACUCUUUAUGAUGACUGAUGUUAACUAGACUUGUUGUAGCCAUUUUGCAGUAUAUACAAAUAUUGAAUUGUUAUAUUGUACACCUGAAACUAAUGUUAUAUGUCAAUUACCUCGAUGAAAAAAUUUAAAAUAUUUAGUUAUUAAUAGAGUCCAAUUAUCAAUCUUUUCCUUUCUGGGCCUUGUUUAAGAAUCUUUGCCCAUCCUCUCAAACCCUUUAAAAAUGGCUUUCAUAUCCCACCAGUACCGUCCCUUGGAGAGGAGCCCUGGAAGAUGGGAGAGAAAGGGUUCCUAGAGGAGACAAGGUGAGCACUGACCUCUAAGGUGGAUGGACUGGGAUGAAGGAUGUUCCAAGUGAGGGGCAAACAAAUGAUGGGGGGGCGGGUUGCAUUUGGUCACACAGCCCCGGCACCCAUUUACGUAGGGCAACAGAGGUGCUGCUUUGCGUGUGUUAUCACCACACUCCUGCAGGCGGGGACUCUCCACUUCAGCGCAUGUAGAAACCAGGCUGCAGAGAGUGCUCAGAAGCAUGGGUCAACCACAGGGAGCUCAGGACGUCCAACCCGAGCAUGCCCAGCUCCCGAGCUGUGCCUGAAGGCAGCCGGGAUUCCGUGCACCAGAGAAGAGGCGUCCUGUCUGGUAUCGGGAUGACUCAUGAGGCCCGACAGGCCCAGCUCUGCCAACUCCCCUGAAUGCAACCCUGGGGCUCUGGGAUAACAGCCAGCAGCCACCCAGAGCUUUCCAGAGGAGGAAUUGAGAUCAGACCCGCAGCAUGCUUGGCGCAGGGUGUGGCACAGUGCUGGCCGGCACCCAGCAGAGAGCACUGGGCCACAGGGAGGCCCCAGAAGACCCCUUCACCGUGGGCAGGAAGGGGGACAGAGGGUCUAAGGAGCCCCCACGCCCACCCCCCCUCAGACCUGUCCACCCAGUGUGGGAGGCCCUGGCCUGGUGCACACUAGCACAUCAGUGUUCCCUGGCUGGAUUUUGCCAGAAAAUCCAAGAGCUUCGUGUUUGGAAUUUGCUUCCAGCGCUACCGCACCCAUCGGCGCUUCCUGCUGGGGUAGCAAACCGCUGUGGGCCCCCGGCACCCCCACACACACACUGACUGGAGGGGCUCCCUAGGGCAGGCCUCUGCAGGGGCCGGGACAGCCUCUUGCUGCUUCCAGGGAGGAGGCACUUUGGAGGCAGACAGCCCCCCACUUUGAAUCCCAUUUCCCAGUUGGAGGAACCUGGGAGGUCUCUUGCACUUUUCUCCUGCUUGUUUUCCCCUCUGUAAAAUGGGGACCAUCCUAGCAGCUCCCUUUCAAGGUUCCUGGGUCCCUGUAAAGCGCGAGGCCCCUCUCAGCCCACAGCCCGGGCCGCGAGUUCGCGCGCCCGAAUCCGGCCACGCGGGGGCGCUCUGCUGCGCCCAGCCCGGCCCGGCGCCGGCCCUCGCUGGGCUCUGCGGGGACUCCUCCGCGUGCGGGAGCUCGGCGAAUACCUCUGACAGUUGGAAAAUGAAUCCAUCGACUCCACCCUGCGGACAUUUGUUUGGAAUGAGGCCAGCCCGCAGCGCGAGCCCCCUCCGCGCCGCUUGGGGGUCCCACCCCUGCUGCGCCCGCCGGCUUGCGGGGAGCGGCCCAUGUGGGCUCUGGACCGCCCCGAGGGGGUACCGGCCGGGGCCAGAGCUCCGGAUCCGGAUCAGCUGGAGGGACCCAAAGUCCCCAGCUCCGCCCUCCCUCCCCAGUGGCUUGAACGAGCCACAUCACGGCGCCUCGACUCCCAGCCUCAACUUCCACAUCCAUAAAUUGGGGAAGUCAACAGUCCCUACUUUGAAAAGUUGCUGAGAAAGUUAAAGGAGAUGUAUCACUGUGGUCCAGCUUCCAGGCCUUAGGCAAGCCACUUGCAUCUUUCUGAGCCUCAGUUUCCCCAGCCACAAAAUGGGGAUAAUAAAUGUCCUUACCUCCCAGGGUCAUUGAACAGACGAGAUUGCAGCAGCAGCCACCUGGCACCCCCUGACCGCUCAGUCAGUGGAGCCAUUGGGGUUCGGAAAGCUCUGCAGAGGCCCCGAGUCCACAGCUCACGCCUGUGCCCCAGAACCACAGGUCGUCUUUUAGGGAUCAAGCCACCCAGUUUGGGAGCUGCCGGCUUAGAGCCAAGCUGAUGCUCCCUCACUUCCCUGGCUCGGAUUGGUGGGGGGUUCGCUGUGCAGCCCACAAGCGUCUGGGCAGGGGGCUGGGAGGCAGUGCCCCCCUCCUCCUGACUGGUCUUCAGGGCCCCCUCUGGUUGAGUCACCAGGCAAAAACAUGCAGCUUUGACACCAUCCAGAAAAUGCAAAUGUCCUGGGCGUCUAAUCCUUCCCUUCCUUUUGGCAACUUAAACCACCCUGAAACAUAACCAAGAUAGCAAACCCAGUGUGAGUGUUCACGAUGGAGCCCCGGCCCCGGCCCCCCGGUAAAGCCGGCCUCGUGGACUUUGUGCAGCAAAGCAAUGCCUCCGGUCAGACUUAGCCUCACCAGCAGUUUGAUACUCAUGGAACUGAGGCUCAAAGGAGGGACUCUGAUGAUCUCAGAACUCAGAAUUCCACCUGGGCCUGUCGGGGAGUUCACAGCCCCUCCCUUGGAGGAAGGGAGCACAGAGCGACAAGAAAGACGCAGGUUCCUGAGACGGUGUGCAGGUACCAGAAUUUGUUCACUUUCCAGGAGCUGCUUAGAAACUAUUUCCACCUUCAACAGCACCCCUCCCCCAGCACUGCCACUUGUGUACAGGUGUCUGGAUCUCCAUGGUGAGAGCCCCCUGUUGGUCUCGGGGCUGGGGAGAGUGGGGGCAUCCGAGUGGAAAGCCCCAAACUGUAGAAUUGGGCACCAGAGCCACAGAGAUGUGCCACUUUCCUGAAGCUGUGUGCCUUUGCCUCUCCAAAGGCCUUCCCCCGGCAGUUUCCAGACCAAGGAGCCCACCCUCUUCCCCGGGAGCCGAGCCAAGAAGGUCCUGGGACAGAGGGCCCCAUGUGCCGCUCAUUUUUCUCCCCCUCUGGGCAGAGCUGACUCGUUCCGUGCCUCGGAGAGAUCUUUGCGAUGAUGGAUAAGCCGUGGCCCCGACUGCCGUGGCCCUGGGGAGAAAAAACAUCUUUUGCAGUUUCGUGUAAAGCCUCCCACUUCUCGCUUAAUAAGUGCUGAAAGCGGCACAAACAGAGAGACCCCGGGCUUGCCAUGACUAACAAGAUGACCACAUCAGGCAGCCGAGCUGGGGGAGAGGACCGCGCCGGCCGGCCCGGCGUCCCCGGAGCGAGGUGUCCGAUUCCGAUUCCCUCCCGGGACGCUCCGCCAGCAGCGCUUUGAAGCCGGGCCGAGGCCGCCGCGGAGCUGGGAGCUCGGAGGCGCGGAGCGGAGGGGGGAAAGGGCUGGGGCUCCCUCCUGCACGAUGGGCACAGAUCGCCCGAGAUAAAGGAACCACAGCCUCCGCCAACUUGUGCUGAGUCGCUCUUUUCAAAAGCCCUUUCAGAUGGUUUCACUUCUCCGCGAGCGCUUUGUUGAAAGAUGUAAAAAUUUCAAACCACCACAGAGUAAACAUUUCAAAACUCGCUCUUUGCAAAAUCAGUCACAUUUUCAAAAAUCCCUUGAAUUCCAUCUCCACCCCCUCCGCCCCUUCUUCGGCGCUCUUCGGAUUCGAGUGUUUUUCAUUAAUUUAGAAGCAGUCCAGGUAAAGCUGGUGUUUGCGAGCUGGUGUUUUACGGGCGGGAAGUAGCUUUGUUAUUUAGGAGAUGUUUUAGAUAAGUCAAUGUCUUGUCAAAAUCAAGCAGGUUUUCUUUAUUAGGGUGAAAUCGUAAUGAACUCAUCUGCUUCUAAUAUUUAUAAAGAGAAGAGAGGCCAUUAAUUCUACUGCUUGUGAAUAAAACCAUCUGUGAUUUCUUUCCA